UUUUUUUUUAUUUUUUAUUAUGGAAUUGGCAUGAAUAAUGUUACUGAAACAAGAACUAUUGUGAAAUAUUAAUUAUAAUAUGUUGUGUAAAUCUCAAACUUUGUGUGGGGGACCCUCAGCCACCUUCUGUUUUCUGCUUUUAAAAUACUCACAAUGACUUUGAUCAGAAGAAAUUUUGAUCUUCUGGUUGAGAGCACUAAAGGGUUGCCAUCAAAUCUG
rnacentral:misc_RNA from 1 species